rnacentral:rRNA from 1 species
UGGGGAAUCUUGCGCAAUGGGCGAAAGCCUGACGCAGCGACGCCGCGUGGGUGAUGAAGGCCUUCGGGUUGUAAAGCCCUGUGGAGAGGGACGAAUAAGUCGGCGUUAACACCGCCGGCGAUGACGGUACCUUUUUAGCAAGCACCGGCUAACUCUGUGCCAGCAGCCGCGGUAAGACAGAGGGUGCAAACGUUGUUCGGAAUUACUGGGCGUAAAGCGUGUGUAGGCGGCUGUGAAAGUCGGAUGUGAAAGCCCCGGGCUCAACCCGGGAAGAGCACCCGAUACUGCACGGCUUGAGUACCGGAGAGGUUGGUGGAAUUCUCGGUGUAGAGGUGAAAUUCGUAGAUAUCGAGAGGAACACCGGCGGCGAAGGCGGCCAACUGGACGAGUACUGACGCUGAGACACGAAAGCGUGGGGAGCAAACAGG